rnacentral:rRNA from 1 species
AACGAACGCUGGCGGCAGGCUUAACACAUGCAAGUCGAACGGGCCCUUCGGGGUCAGUGGCAGACGGGUGAGUAACGCGUGGGAACGUGCCCUUCAGUUUGGGAUAACCCAGGGAAACUUGGGCUAAUACCGGAUACGUGCGAGAGCAGAAAGAUUUAUCGCUGAAGGAUCGGCCCGCGUCUGAUUAGCUGGUUGGUAGGGUAAUGGCCUACCAAGGCGACGAUCAGUAGCUGGUCUGAGAGGAUGAUCAGCCACAUUGGGACUGAGACACGGCCCAAACUCCUACGGGAGGCAGCAGUGGGGAAUAUUGGACAAUGGGCGCAAGCCUGAUCCAGCCAUGCCGCGUGAGUGAUGAAGGCCUUAGGGUUGUAAAGCUCUUUCAGUGGGGACGAUAAUGACGGUACCCGCAGAAGAAGCCCCGGCUAACUUCGUGCCAGCCGCCGCCGUAA